rnacentral:hammerhead_ribozyme from 1 species
AUCCAGCUGAUGAGUCCCAAAUUGGACGAAACGCGCGUCCUGGAU